CUACCUAGUAGUACGGAAUAAUUGUUGGAAACGGCAACUAAUACCGUAUACGCCCUACGGGGGAAAAAUUUAUUGCUAUUAGAUGAGCCUAUAUUAGAUUAAUUAGUUGGUGAGGUAAAGGCUUACCAAGACAAUGAUCUAUAGCUGAUCUGAGAGGAUGAUCAGCCACACUGGAACUGAGAUACGGUCCAGACUCCUACGGGAGGCAGCAGUGGGGAAUAUUGGACAAUGGGCGAAAGCCUGAUCCAGCCAUGCCGCAUGAGUGAAGAAGGCCUUCGGGUUGUAAAGCUCUUUUAGUGAGGAAGAUAAUGACGGUACUCACAGAAGAAGUCCUGGCUAACUCCGUGCCAGCAGCCGCGGUAAUACGGAGAGGGCUAGCGUUAUUCGGAAUCAUUGGGCGUAAAGGGCGCGUAGGCGGGUUAGUAAGUUAAAAGUGAAAUCCCAAGGCUCAACCUUAGAACUGCUUUUAAAACUGCUAGUCUAGAGAUUGAAAGAGGAUAGAGGAAUUCCUAGUGUAGAGGUGAAAUUCGUAAAUAUUAGGAGGAACACCAGUGGCGAAGGCGUCUAUCUGGUUCAAAUCUGACGCUGAGGCGCGAAGGCGUGGGGAGCAAACAGGANUAGAUACCCUGGUAGUCCACGCUGUAAACGAUGAAUGUUAAAUAUGGGAAGUUUACUUUCUGUAUUAUAGCUAACGCGUUAAACAUUCCGCCUGGGGACUACGGUCGCAAGAUUAAAACUCAAAGGAAUUGACGGGGACCCGCACAAGCGGUGGAGCAUGGGGUUUAAUUCGAUGCAAC
rnacentral:rRNA from 1 species